rnacentral:lncRNA from 1 species
AUCCAACGUCGCUCCAGCUGCUCUUGACGACUCCACAGAUACCCCGAAGCCAUGGCAAGCAAGGGCUUGCAGGACCUGAAGCAACAGGUGGAGGGGACCGCCCAGGAAGCCGUGUCAGCGGCCGGAGCGGCAGCUCAGCAAGUGGUGGACCAGGCCACAGAGGCGGGGCAGAAAGCCAUGGACCAGCUGGCCAAGACCACCCAGGAAACCAUCGACAAGACUGCUAACCAGGCCUCUGACACCUUCUCUGGGAUUGGGAAAAAAUUCGGCCUCCUGAAAUGACAGCAGGGAGACUUGGGUCGGCCUCCUGAAAUGACAGCAGGGAGACUUGGGUGACCCCCCUUCCAGGCGCCAUCUAGCACAGCCUGGCCCUGAUCUCCGGGCAGCCACCACCUCCUCGGUCUGCCCCCUCAUUAAAAUUCACGUUCC